CGUGAGGAUGUGGCUAUGGGGAUAGGAUCAUGGGGAGGUGAUCAUGAGCUGGUGGAGGUGACCUGGGCGAGCAUGGGCUGUGUCUGUGGAGUCCGUGUGCCUGGGGUGUCCACAGUGUCCCCAUGUUCUACCUCAGCCCAGGGUGGCUUCGGUUUCCCUGUUCCCAAGGUGUCUGUGCCACAUGGAUGUGGUGCAUGGGUGGCUGUGACACAGACAUGUCCCCCCACCUCACCAAAUCUUUUGGGGAGCACCCAGACACACUUUCUCACACAAAGUGCUGUCCCCAUGGGGACAAUUUGGAGACACUGCGUGCUGCUGUCCCUGAGGUGCCACCCCCACUAAGCCCUGUUCCUUCUCCCUUCCAGCUCAGACCCUCGGCCUCACUGGCACCCAGACCACCCAGAUCCUCGUGGAGCCCCCCGGAGGUCACCAGUGCUGUGGGACUGACAUACCAGGGCUCGGAGAAGGUCAGUGCCACCACCUGGUACAAGAAUGGGUAGUGCUGGUGGCCACAGGGAUGCGACCAACUCACUUUCACCUCGAGUGGCAUCUACAAGUGUGACAGACACGGCAGUGGGCUCAGCCUCACCGCGAGAGUGCUAGAUGACUAUCUGGUGCUGCAGGUGCUAGCACAGGCACUGCUAGAGGGGAACAUGGUGACACUGUGCUGACGGG